GACGAACGCUGGCGGCGUGCCUAACACAUGCAAGUCGAGCGGGGUUGAGGCGAGAGGUAACUCGAACUUCUACCUAGCGGCGGACGGGUGAGUAACGCGUGGGCAACCUGCCUCAAGGUUUGGGAUAACAGCCCGAAAGGGCUGCUAAUACCGGAUAUGCCUAUGGCCUCGCAUGGGGCUAUGAGCAAAGGGGAAACCCGCCUUGAGAUGGGCCCGCGUCCCAUCAGCUAGUUGGUGAGGUAACAGCUCACCAAGGCGACGACGGGUAGCCGGCCUGAGAGGGUGACCGGCCACACUGGGACUGAGACACGGCCCAGACUCCUACGGGGGCAGCAGUGGGGGAUCUUGCACAAUGGGCGAAAGCCUGAUGCAGCGACGCCGCGUGAGCGAAGAAGGCCUUCGGGUUGUAAAGCUCUGUCUGGAGGACGAACAAAAUGACGGUACCUCCGGAGAAGCCAACGGCUAACUACGUGCCAGCAGCCGCGGUAAUAUCACGUGUAC
rnacentral:rRNA from 1 species